rnacentral:rRNA from 1 species
GACGAACGCUGGCGGCGUGCCUAAUACAUGCAAGUAGGACGCUGAAGAGAGGAGCUUGCUCUUCUUGGAUGAGUUGCGAACGGGUGAGUAACGCGUAGGUAACCUGCCUUGUAGCGGGGGAUAACUAUUGGAAACGAUAGCUAAUACCGCAUAACAAUGGAUGACACAUGUCAUUUAUUUGAAAGGGGCAAUUGCUCCACUACAAGAUGGACCUGCGUUGUAUUAGCUAGUAGGUGAGGUAACGGCUCACCUAGGCGACGAUACAUAGCCGACCUGAGAGGGUGAUCGGCCACACUGGGACUGAGACACGGCCCAGACUCCUACGGGAGGCAGCAGUAGGGAAUCUUCGGCAAUGGACGAAAGUCUGACCGAGCAACGCCGCGUGAGUGAAGAAGGUUUUCGGAUCGUAAAGCUCUGUUGUAAGAGAAGAACGGGUGUGAGAGUGGAAAGUUCACACUGUGACGGUAUCUUACCAGAAAGGGACGGCUAACUACGUGCCAGCAGCCGCGGUAAUACGUAGGUCCCGAGCGUUGUCCGGAUUUAUUGGGCGUAAAGCGAGCGCAGGCGGUUAGAUAAGUCUGAAGUUAAAGGCUGUGGCUUAACCAUAGUACGCUUUGGAAACUGUUUAACUUGAGUGCAGAAGGGGAGAGUGGAAUUCCAUGUGUAGCGGUGAAAUGCGUAGAUAUAUGGAGGAACACCGGUGGCGAAAGCGGCUCUCUGGUCUGUAACUGACGCUGAGGCUCGAAAGCGUGGGGAGCGAACAGG